CCUACGGGUGGCUGCAGUGAGGAAUAUUGGUCAAUGGGCGCGAGCCUGAACCAGCCAAGUCGCGUGAGGGAUGACGGUCCUACGGAUUGUAAACUUCUUUUGUCGGGGAGCAAGCGUGCGUUCGUGUACGCGCGUCGAGAGAACCCGGAGAAAAAGCAUGGGCAAACUCCGUGCCAGCAGCCGCGGUAAUACGGAGGAUGCGAGCGUGAGCCGGAUGGAUUGGGUGAAAGGGGUGCGUAGGCGGGAUGCAAAGUCAGCGGUAAAUAUGCGGGGCGCAACGCCGUCGAGCCGUUGAUACUGGCGUUCUAGAGUAGGCGAGAAGUAUGCGGAAUGCGUGGUGUAGCGGUGAAAUGCAUAGAUAUCACGCAGAACUCCGAUUGCGAAGGCAGCAUACCGGCGCCGUACUGACGCUGAGGCACGAAAGCGUGGGUAUCGAACAGGAUUAGAUACCCUUGUAGUC
rnacentral:rRNA from 1 species